rnacentral:rRNA from 1 species
ACUCCUACGGGAGGCAGCAGUGGGGAAUAUUGCACAAUGGGGGAAACCCUGAUGCAGCCAUGCCGCGUGUGUGAAGAAGGCCUUCGGUUGUAAAGCACUUUCAGUAGGGAGGAAGGUAGUGUAGUUAACACCUGCAUUAUUUGACGUUACCUACAGAAGAAGCACCGGCUAACUCCGUGCCAGCAGCCGCGGUAAUACGGAGGGGUGCGAGCGUUAAUCGGAAUUACUGGGCGUAAAGCGCAUGCAGGCGGCCUGUUAAGUCAGAUGUGAAAGCCCGGGGGCUUAACCUCGGAAUUGACAUUUGAAACUGGCAGGCUAGAGUCUUGUAGAGGGGGUAGAAUUUCAGGUGUAGCGGUGAAAUGCGUAGAGAUCUGAAGG